AUGUGGCUACAGCCCCUUCCUGAUUUAUUUCCAAAUUGGCUUAUCAGCUCUGGGACCAAAUUUGUAAAUGAAUUCCUUGUCUCUCUGCAAUGGCUCAUUCCAGAGAAUUUGUGGACUUAUCUGAUCCCUGCACUCCUCCUCCUUGGGAUUGUAAUUGUUAGAACUGUAAUAUUAUAUCUAAUUUCCUCUAAGAGAGCCCUGAAAAAUACCUUAUAUGAGAUAAGGACACACUUAGAUUUACAUCAGCCUCCCCCUCAAGACCAUGUUUCCCAACUGAACCAAGCACUUGUUCCUUCUAUUACUCAAAAAUUUGCAGAACAAAAUACUUUUAUUAAUCAACGAUUUGCUGAACAAAAUACUUUUAUUGAUCAACAAUUUGUGGAACAAAAUACUUUUAUUAAUCAACGAUUGGUGGAACAGGAUGAAGUUAUGGAGGAAAAAUGGGGAGAGAUAAAAACUUUCCUGGAUGAAAUUAUGGAGGGAAAAUGGGGAGAGAUAAAAACUUUCCUGGAUGAAAUUAUGGAGGAACAAUGGGGAGAGAUAAAAACUUUCCUGGAUGAAAUUAUGGAGGAACAAUGGGGAGAGAUAAAAACUUUACUGCAAAACAUUGAAAGGGAGUUAAAAACAUCCCACAAUAGGAGUGAUUUAACUCUCCAUCCCCCAUCAUUAUCAGAUUCCCUGACCAACCCUGCCCAAAACGAUUUGGCUCAAAUAGAAGCCCCUUCACACCAACCAGCUCCUCCCCAUCCUGACCACCCAGCCCCUCCCCCUGCCAUUCUUGCCCCUCCCACCCUGGUUCCUCCUUCCAUUCAUGCCUCUUACCCUGCCUCCUCAGCCCCGGAUCCUCCCCCUGCCCUUCCCCCCACCCAUGCUCAUGCUCUAGCCCCACCCCCUGUUCCUGUCCCAGCCCUUCCCCCUGCCCUUCCCUCCACUAAUGCUCUAAUCUCCAACCCCCAUGCUCCAACAGCCAAUAAUCCUAACAUUGAAAAUGGAGCAAGUAGCCUAGAAACAGUAACACCAGAUAGUUUAGACAGAAGUUUAUUUCCAUUGAGGGAAGUACCCACCUUUAAUAAAGAAGGGAACUUGGUGUCUGUAAGACACUAUACACCUUUUAAACCUGAUGAUUUAGAAAAAUUCAAGCACAAUGUUCAAUCAUUUGAGGCAGAACCAAUGUUGGUUAUAGAAAAAUUAGAAAAUAUAUUCAGAAACUUUGACCCUUCUUGGUUGGAUGUGGAGAAUUUGUUAGAUACAUUUCUGACAAAGAGAGAGAAAAAUAAUGUCAUCUCUCUAGCUAAUAAGAAAAGUGGUAGAGGAGCUCAUCACUGGCCAACUGUAGAUCCAUACUGGAACCCCAAUAUUAUACAGGAUCAC
rnacentral:lncRNA from 1 species